rnacentral:lncRNA from 1 species
GUGAAACCUGUUGAAGAAUAGUAUUCAUUCUUCCAAAGAAUGCCAAGUGCCACUCAGAGGAAGUAAGGGGGAGUCAUGGGACAUGUUAAGGCAAGUGCUGAAUAUGGGGACCACCUACAGAGCAUCUUAACAGACCUUUCUCCCUCAGAGGGCCUAACCCAACCCCACUGCCCUUUCUCUUCCAGAUUUCCAUGUACUAACACCAAGAAGUGGUCAAGAAGCAUACCGCACUGCUCCUGGAGUCAGAGGAUCUUGAUCACAUUUUCUCCGUGUGCAGCUGUAAAGAAAUCUGUAAUUCCCGAAAAUACUCUGAUUCGGACGUCACUUUUUACCCACAAGUGACUGUUUCUAACUCUGAAAACGCCCACCUGCUUAAGUAAGCAACCAGCUGUGGAGAGAAAUCGAGUCUCUAGUCAACCGAGUGAAGUCCUAUCCUUUAAGGUAUUCAGGGUUUUCAGGGACCUUGGCUUUGCUUUUGUCUUACUGUGUUCCCUUGCCCAUGUUUCUUCCCUUCUCAGUUUUAAAAGUCCGUGAAAGUGUGAAUUGUUUUCAUUCUGUGUGCCGAAGCUUCAUUGGAUCCCAGAAUUUUGCUGGGUUUCCUGUUUGGUUUUCCCGAGUCCUGCUUUGGCUCUUAGGCCAAGGUCCGCCCAGCUGCACGACCGCUCCGUAACACGUGAGGGCGCUGUGCGGCUGCAGUUUCCUUUUGAGCUGCUCUGGGCCUGGGGAAGGCUACUCUUUCAGGCACUUACAGGUAACAUUCAGCUGUCAGGACCAUGGGAAGCAAGGGCUGACUUCCGCAGUAGCCAUGUUGUGAUAGCUAACUUUCGCGGUAGCCAUGUUGUGAUAGCCCUGGGGGCCUAAAACCAGAGGGGGGACCCUAGGAAUAGAAGAGGCAUAUGGGGGUACUUUAACAGUGAAGGUGUGGGAAGCCUGGUUGUCUGUGGAUCUGAGGGUGGCUGGUAGGCUUGAGUGGCUCCACAAGAGGGUCAGAUGUUCUGGGAAGCUGAGGGAGGGCUAGACCCGGAGAGCAGCCACGCCUCGUGCUGUGACAGACUGGGAUGUAAAAGUCUUAAAGGCCAAUGGCUGGUUCCAAAGUCAAGUUGUCAAACGUGAUGAUGGCUAAUGCACUCUUUUCACAGGGGUGACUAGUCUGGAAAACCAGGAAGUCCUGAGCAACAGAGCCUGUCCUUGUGAGACUAAACGAUUGGGGGCUGCUGGGAACUUCCAGGUCCUAGGAUACUGGGGAGGGGUCCUGUUCCCUGGGUACCAUCUCUCCAGUGAGCAUUCAGUGGUAGAUGCCAGGGGAAUAGAAGCUACAAUUGGUGUGAAACUGUUUUGGGGCUGAGCAAUUACCCCCUAAAGGGACAUGGGCACAACAUUCAUGUUUGUGGGAAACAAAAUGGCAUGGCUAUUCCUCAAACCACAAUAAUUUACCUUAGGAGCCUG